rnacentral:lncRNA from 1 species
AAUCACCCGAGUGGCACUUCGAAGGGAGUAACACACCAGUCGUGGUGUUGAUUUCUCAGUAGCAACUUCAUUUGCCUAACUUGCCUCUUCCUCCUCUUCUUCUGACCCAUCCUGUGCUCCAUCCGCCAGCUGCCUCUUGCCUGCUGGCUGUUACAGUUCCCCACAAAUCACUUACCCCCUCUCUCAAGUCAGACUCCAGCCCCCCUUCCUCUGGUGCACACUCAUCAGCAUUCUGCCAGUCCCUGCCAGCUGCUAAUGGAGGAUGAAAAGCAAUGGGCUAAGAUGGAGGACUGGAAGGAGUUGGGGCCAAGACCAAUCCUUCCAUCCACACUAUUAAAAUAGCAUUAAAAUUGGUUUAACAGUUUCAUGCAAAAGUCAAGGUUGGUAAAAUUAGGAAGCACAUUUUACUGAAUAUUUUCCAUGAAAGAACUGAAAUUCUCCAGCCAUUCAGGAGGUGUUCAGGAGAUAGACAGACAGACAGACCUUGGUCAUAAUACGGGAACUCAAUAUCAUCUAAUUAAAGUGACUUGCAUGAGAUUCAGGAUAGAUUGUGCACAUGAUACAAAAUUAAUUUACAGAGUUUGUUACCAUAUGAUAGCACCUAGUUUGGAUGGCUUUGAAAGUGGAUCAGACUAAUUUCAUUGGUCUGUCGGUGGGUACUAGCCAUGUAGCUAUAUGGAUUUUGAAACUUCAGAUACAGAGGCAGUGUGCCUUUGAGCACCAGUUGCUGGAGAGGAACUGCAAGAGAGGGCUGUCACAUUCAGGAGUCAGGAGGUGUUGCCUUCAAGUCCUGUUUGUGGAUUUUCUAGGGACAUCUGGCUGGCCAGAGGAUGCUAAACUAGAUGGACCUUUGGUUUGAUGCAGCAGAGCUCUACUUGCAUUCUUAAGACCAUAGCCCUCACCACUCCUUGCCUCCCUCCUGCCUCUUCAUUUGUCUUUGUCCAUAGCUAGAGAAAGUUGACAAAGCUUCCUGGGCCUCAUCCAGCACUGUAAGCCCUCUUUAGAUUGUAUCUGUCUCCAGUAAUAUUUGCUAACUGAUCUUGUAAAUGGGUACCUAAGUUCUUUUAAAAUCUGUCAUCAUUAAUUCAGAUAAACAGGAUUUCAAAUGGUUUGAUAAUAUGCAAGUGAUUCUGAAUAGAAGCCAUUUAAUGUGGUCCAUCAAUGACAAAAGACAAAUUCAGAAACUAAACCCAGUAUAAUUUCAAGUAAACUACAUAUAUGGUCUUGUUCACACAUGCAUAUGCAUCGCUUGUACUAUUUUAUUGUUGUUAGCAGCCCUGAGCCCGGCUUCGGCUGGGGAGGGCAGGAUAUAAAUAAAAAUUAUUAUUAUUAUUAUUAUUAUUAUUAUUAUUAUUAUUAUUAUGUCUUGAUGACUGUUACCUAAAUGUGUGUAAGGACUCUUGCCAAAAGCAUUUGACUAGAGGAAAUUUUUAAUGUUCUGUGCAUGGAUAUUCUGUGACAGCCUAUCCUUACAUGCAAAUGAUCUGUUAUAGCCAUGUCCUGAGGAAUGUGCAGGCCUAUAUUAAAAUGCCACUGUGGGAACAGACCAUUGAGGGAGCAAAGGGUCAGCAGCAGCUGACCUAUCAGCAAGUGGCUUAGUAUGUGGGUCAGCAAGCUGCCUAGCAAGCAGCCAUGCAUCAAGUGAUGAUACCCAAGCCUAGUUUGAUGAUUCCAGCUUCCAACAGAUAGAUAAGAGAGGCAUGUAUCAAUCUGUUGCCUGCAUGAUAACAGCACCCAUCUCCCUCACAGUGUGACCCUUUCCAAUGACUGGCAGAAGCCCAGGACCACCCUAAGGGAAAUCAAUGUGAUUGCUUUGCACUAAAAGUUUAAAGGAUUAAUAAAAUGAGAGAGAAAGAGAGAGAGAUUAAGAUUUUUAAAAGGAAUUAAUGGCUUAACAGGACUCAGGUGUAUAAAUAGUUUGGGUGAUAUCUCCCCAUUACACUGUAAAGCACCCUGUGAUCCACAGAUGAUGGAUGGUUUAUAAAUUUAAUAAAUAACCAUAAUAAUUUAUCCAUUUUCUUUGUACAAAUAAACAAUAUUGAUUUGAAUAAAAAUAGAGGACCACCUCUGCUCCAUUUUCUGUUCCAUUUCUGAUAUUCUAUUUCUGCAUGCCUAGGACUGUAGCUGCAUCACAGAGAAGAAUAUCCCGGGGUCAGUCCUUGACUUCUCCAUUUAAAGAUCAUUUACCAGGUGAUGAGAAAGCUCCUGAAGAUCCACCACCAGGAGGCAAGAGCAGCUCCUCUCUAAAUGAAAGUUAUAUUUGGUACUUUUUUUUAGUUUAGGAGGUGAAAAGUGAAUUGGGGCACAUAUAGAAAUCUACAAAAUUAUUCAUGGAUGGUGUGGAGAAAGUGGACAGGGAGAGAGAAAGUGUAUGCGAGAGAGAAACGAGGUGUUCUGUUAUAAUAUUAGAACUCAGGGUUAUCCAAUGAGGUUGAAUGGUGGGUGCUUAAGGAAGAUUGAGUCAAAGGGAAGUACUUUUUGGAACACCACAUAGUUAAACUAUGUCAUUAUAUCUCUGGAUUCAGAGACAGCAUACCUCUGAAUAUCAGUUAUGGGGGAACAGAAGUACUGUAUAAUGUUGGGAAAAUGUUGGUCACAUGCCUUGCUUGCAGGCUUUCAAUAUGCAACUGAUUGACCACUGUGGAAAAUGGGAUAGUGGGGUAGAUAAACCUUUGUCCUGAUCCAGCAGAGCUUAGAGUAGUCAAUAGUCUCAGCUGUAUGGACCAGUGAUUUGACCUGGUAUAUAAGGCAGCAUUCUAUGUUCUCAAUUAGAAAUAUUUUAUCAGGGCAAUUUUCAUGUUAUAUGGGCACACUGGUUUACCUAUGCCUCUGCUAGCUGUCUGUUUCAUUGCUUUCCAAUAUCUGAAUAGCUUGCUGUGCAAAUAUAUCUUCUCUGAAUUAUCCAAGGUCCUGAAUUUGUUUAAAAAAUAUGGCAGAAGUACCAAAGUGUUUUUCACAGCACUAUUCAUAUUUUCUCAACUCGACAACCUAUGCUUUUAUCAAGUGUGGAAAUGUGAAUUGUAUCCUCUUUCUAUGGAGUCAUUUAUUUGCUAUGGCAAAGAGAGGGUUACACACAUCCAUUCACUUGAGGUAGAAUGUCUCAAAUACAACUGACAGAAGUAAAUUUGGUUUUUAUGCAGGAUCUAAGCAUGUUUAGAAUACUAAUGUGCCUAUAAAGGACAUUCUGACUACAACCAUUUGUCAUUUGCCAGGCUGUGUUUACCGACAGCCUAAGAAGGGCUGAAGGAAGAGAGAAUCCUCCAAAAAGCCAAUUUCUUUAUUCCUCUUGUUUUAUCACAGUUUUGUCUCUUGAAAUUUAGAAAUGGUGUCUGGUAAUUUAGAAUGUGUCACCUUCCCAAACCCACAGUCCAGCUGGACGUAUAAUCGAUCACCCCACACCAACAUAAACACAACACAAAGACUUGUCUUCUGCUUUGCUGAGCAGAGGAGCUGCAUAGAAAUGCAAAACACAAUAAAUGCAAAUUAAUAUACAUUUCAACAAAUGUCAGCACUUUAUUAUUUUUCACAUUUAUAAUUAUCCACAUCUUUCUCACUAAAGCAGGGAUGGGGAGCCUGUAGUACUUCAGAUGUUGUUAGACUCCAGUUCCCAUUAUAUAUAGCCUUUGAUUAUGGUGGCUAGGGAUAAUGAGAAUUGCAGUCCAUUGGAGAAACACAGCUUCUUCUUUUUUGUCUUAAAAAGAGGUGGUGAAAAAUCACUCUGACCAUCACUGCAACCUGAAUGUACAGAUAAUAAUAAUAAUAAUUUAUUAUUUAUACCCCGCCCAUCUGGCUGAGUUUCCCCAGCCACUCUGGGUGGCUCCCAAUCAAGUGUUAAAAACAAUACAGCAUUAAAUAUUAACAACUUCCCUAAACAGGGCUGCCAGAUAUGGAGACUGAUCCAAGAGUUGGGAGGUAGAUGCCAAUUGCCCUGACUGCCACACCUCACUAGAUCCAACACAGCUGAGUGUAAACACAGCUGUGCCAGAUAGGGGUAAUAUUCCAAUAUUUUUUGGGAAAACCAUCCAAAAAUUUAUGCUUUAAAUUUAUUUUUUUGUUUUUUAAAAAGAAGCAUGAAAUUAUUAUUUAUUGUCCUUAAUUGAUCUAAAAUCUGCAACAUUUUUUGUCCAUACUUAGUAUUCUCUGUGUGAGAGGUGGAUGGAAAAUGUUUUAGAUAGUUAAAUUUUAAAGAAGAAAGCCCUUGUGGUUCUUUUAUCAUUUUUUGUUCCAUUUCCUAGAAGAAGAAGGGUUUGGAUUUGAUAUCCCGCUUUAUCACUACCCGAAGGAGUCUCAAAGUGGCUAACAUUCCCUUCUUCCCCCACAACAAACACUCUGUGAGGUGAGUGGGGCUGAGAGACUUCAGAGAAGUGUGACCAGCCCAAGGUCACCCAGCAGCUGCAUGUGGAGGAGCGGAGAUGCGAACCCGGUUCACCAGAUUAAGAGUCUACCGUUCUUAACCGCUACACCACACUGGCUCUCUAUUCUAAAGCAGACCUGAAUGGAACCUAGAGACAAGAGGAAACCUCUUAUGUACCUGUUGGGACUCUGUACUAGUUGACCGUUUUAAAGUUCUGAUCCAAACUCUCUGUUGUAUGUCAAGUGCUGUAAGAUCAUGUCUGCAGCAGAUGGAGAGAUGGGACUGCUGGGCUUCUCCAUGGGCUCUACAAUUCCAUCAUGCUCCUCUUUCUUCAACUGUCAUCUGGGAGCAAGCAUUCCAUCAGGCUAAAUGUUCAGACUGCACCAUGAUGGUGGUGGCAACUGAUUUAAAAAUGAAAUGUCUCUCAGCCUUUUCUAUAUUCCAAGAAUGGUGUGAAUGUACCUUUUGUUACAUAGGACCACUCCAAUGGCUUUGCUGGGAGUCCAGUUCCCGCUGGCUCCUUCUCUCCUUGAACUAUUUUCCAUUCCAGCUGGUCAUUUUAAGAACUAUGUAAAUUUAAGAAUUGGUGCCUAAGUUUGCUUAUUCCCCUCUAUCCUCCCAUCCCACUUUUCCUUUUGUGCUAUGUCUUUUAGAAAGUAAGACUGCAGGCGGGAACUGCCUGGUUUAUUGAUCUCAUAAAUGUAAUAAAGUAGGUAUG